AGUAAAGAUUAAAUGUGCUUUCUCAAAGGCAGCCACUUCAUGCUGCUAUGUCGAAAGGGCUAUUAUUAUUAUUAAUAUGAGAGAGAGAGAGGGAGAGAGAGAGGGAGAGAGAGAGACUAGGUAUGGUGAUGACGGUCUGGCUUUUCGGAGAGCAAAAGGGAGAGAAAAAAGGAGAGACCAUGAGCUGAACCAAGGACUGUGUAUGAGCUGAACCUACAGAGUCUGCACAGGAAAGCGCCGCUUCCAGGCAGAGGAGGUUCGAGAAAGCGACUCUAUCAGGGAGGGUAGACCUGAAGCUUUCUUCUUUGUACACACUGACACAAGACUGCUGCUGCAUUGAUUCUUGAGCAAGGCGAACAAUGGAAGAAAGCCACUUUUUGUUGUUAAAGUGAGGUAGCAUUUCUGCUGUAGUUAGAAAGAGCAUUGUCUCUCCAGUGUCCCAAAUCACUUCCAUUAAACAGUCAAUGUGAUAACUGUCUGUGACAUGUUCUAUUAUCUUUCUAGUUGUUCUGAUGUUCCUUUCAGCUGGUCCUAUAGCCCCCUUUCUCAGUAAUGUCUCCCCAGUGAAAGGAAAAAGACUGCAGAGGCUUCAGACUGACGGACGCUCAUGCCAACUGUGAAGUUGAAACAAAGCCAGUGACCAGCUGAAGAGGCCCCUCCUGCCCAGCAGCCACCCACAUGGUGCAGUUGCAGCCAGUAGUAAUCUUUGCAAGAAGCAGAGAAGCCCAGAACACUCAUGAGUCAAAACCAUGCCCUUCCUUGUGUGUAUCCCUGUCUCGUUCAGAUUGAUGCUCCUUCCAUUUGGAUCCUGGUAUGAAUAUGCUUGUUACUGUACGAGUGUAAAAAGCUUUGCCCAAAUGUGUUAAUGUAUGAAGAGACUGGAUUUUUUUUGGGGGGGGGAGAGAGUUAUUUUUAUCAAAACACAGUGUUCGUUCUUGAGAGUGAUCUAGAAAA
rnacentral:lncRNA from 1 species